rnacentral:rRNA from 1 species
GCAAGUCGAACGGUAACAGGUUUCUUCGGAGAUGCUGACGAGUGGCGCACGGGUGAGUAACGCGUACAAAACCUACCUAUAAGAGGGAAUACCCUUUGGAAACGAAGAUUAAUACACCAUUGUAUUACUUUUUAGAUUAAUGUGUAAUUAAAGUUUCGGCGCUUAUAGAUGGGUGUGCGUACUAUUAGCUAGUUGGUAAGGUAAUGGCUUACCAAGGCUACGAUAGUUAGGGGGCGUGAGAGGGUGGUC